CGCUCAGGACGAACGCUGGCGGCGUGCUUAACACAUGCAAGUCGAACGAUGAACCUGGAGCUUGCUCUGGGGGAUUAGUGGCGAACGGGUGAGUAACACGUGAGUAACCUGCCCUGGACUCUGGGAUAAGCGUUGGAAACGACGUCUAAUACCGGAUAGGACCCUGGAUCGCAUGAUCUGGGGUGGAAAGUUUUUCGGUCUGGGAUGGACUCGCGGCCUAUCAGCUUGUUGGUGAGGUAAUGGCUCACCAAGGCGUCGACGGGUAGCCGGCCUGAGAGGGUGACCGGCCACACUGGGACUGAGACACGGCCCAGACUCCUACGGGAGGCAGCAGUGGGGAAUAUUGCACAAUGGGCGCAAGCCUGAUGCAGCAACGCCGCGUGCGGGAUGACGGCCUUCGGGUUGUAAACCGCUUUUAGUAGGGAAGAAGGGCUUCGGCUUGACGGUACCUGCAGAAAAAGGACCGGCUAACUACGUGCCAGCAGCCGCGGUAAUACGUAGGGUCCGAGCGUUGUCCGGAAUUAUUGGGCGUAAAGAGCUCGUAGGCGGUUUGUCGCGUCUGCUGUGAAAUCUGGAGGCUCAACCUCCAGCCUGCAGUGGGUACGGGCAGACUAGAGUGCGGUAGGGGAGAAUGGAAUUCCUGGUGUAGCGGUGGAAUGCGCAGAUAUCAGGAGGAACACCGAUGGCGAAGGCAGUUCUCUGGGCCGUAACUGACGCUGAGGAGCGAAAGCGUGGGGAGCGAACAGGAUUAGAUACCCUGGUAGUCCACGCCGUAAA
rnacentral:rRNA from 1 species